rnacentral:rRNA from 1 species
AUGGAGCUAAGCGCGGCCACCCUCCUCUCCCUCUCCCUCGUCUCACUGAUCGUUCUCUUUUCCUUGCUUGGCCGCAAACCAACACCAAGUUCAAGGAAGAGGCAGCCUCCCGGCCCACGGCGUCUCCCCUUCAUCGGAAGCCUCCUCCACCUCCUGACGGAGACGCCGCAGGUCGCUCUCCGGGACCUGGCCAGGAAGCACGGCCCGGUGAUGUACCUGCGGCUGGGCCAGGUCGACACCGUCGUGAUCUCCUCGCCGGCGGCGGCUGAGGAGGUGCUCCGGGACGACAACCUCAACUUCGCGUCGCGGCCGAGCCUUCUGUCCACGGAGAUCGUGUGCUACGGAAACACUGACAUCGCCUUCGCGCCAUACGGCGCCUACUGGAGGACGCUGCGAAGGCUCUGCGUGGCGGAGCUCCUGAGCGCACGGAAGGUGAGGCAGUUCGCGCACAUCAGGGACAGCGAGGCCCUGUCCCUCGUCAGUAAGAUCCGCGCCGCCGCCGCCGGCGGAAGCGGCGAACCGGUCAAUAUCGGGAAGCUUCUCGUGUCCUGCGCGAACACGAUCACCGCAAAGGCGACGUUCGGCGACGGGUGCGACGCCGAGCUCCAAGAGCGGUUCUUGUCUGCGAUCCGGGUCGUGCUCGACACCAGCGGCGGGUUCUGCAUCGGGGACCUCUUCCCGUCCCUGCGGUUCGUGGACGUCGUCACUGGGCUGCAACGCCGGCUCCGGCGGGCGCGCGGGCAGCUCGACGACGUCUUUGACAGGAUCAUCGCUGGGUGCGAGGCGCGGCGACAGGAAAAGAAGACCGCAGCAACGACCGGAGACGAUGAUCUUCUGAGCGUCAUGCUUAGGAUCAAAGAGGAGGGGCAGCUUGAGUUCCCCAUUGGCACUACAAACAUCAAGGCAAUCAUAGUGGACUUGUUCACGGCAGGGACGGAAACAACAUCGUCAACGGUCGAGUGGAUCAUGUCGGAGCUCAUGAGAAACCCAAUGGUGAUGGCCAAGACACAAGCAGAGGUGCGACAAACAUUGGACAACAAGAGUCCAGAAGAUCAUGAGGGCCACAUGGACAAGCUGGAAUACACAAAGAUGGUGAUCAAGGAGGGCAUGCGGUUGCACCCGGUGGUACCGCUUCUGCUCCCCCGUGUCUGUCGAGAGACCUGCAACAUUGGUGGAUUCAAGGUCUCGAAGGGCUCGAGGAUAAUGGUUAACGCAUGGGCGAUAGCAAGGAGCCCUGAGAAUUGGAAUGACGCGAACGAGUUCAGGCCAGAGAGGUUCGAGGACAACACAGUGGACUACAACGGCACACAGUUCAUGUACAUACCUUUCGGGAGCGGGAGGAGGAUGUGCCCUGGCGGUGCCUUUGGGCUAGCUGUGUUGGAGAUUCUCCUUGCACGGCUUCUGUACUACUUUGACUGGAGCCUCCCAGACGGAAUUAAGCCGGAUGAGCUUGAUAUGGACAUGAUCGUCGGCUCUACAACAAGGAGAAGGAACCAACUUCACCUAGUAGCGACGCCGUAUAAUGUUCCGACGGAAAAUCGAGGUUGA